rnacentral:lncRNA from 1 species
UAAGUAUAAUCUCCAGAAAUGUGUUUGUUGAUGGCCAACUUUCUGAUUUGUGAAAUUCAUACAAUCCUGAAUGUAGAUAGAUAAAUGCGCUGUGUAGCAUUCUGUGGAUACAAACCCUGACCGGCUAAAGUGUCACCUGAGUGUGAGGUGCAGCAGUUGGUCUUAUUUUACUCAUCAGUGAAUCAUAUUAGUUGAUGGCUAGCUUGAGCCUCCUCUUUCUACAAAGCUGUACUAGUGUCGGCUUGGGUGUGGGACUAUAUGUCUUUAUCUUAGUUGUAUAAUCUGUGGUAAGAAAUCUCAACGAUGACCCUGGAGACUGACAAUGUGUGUUUCCUUUUGUUUUCUAGAUUGUUAAAGAGACAUGAAAACAACUUAUCAGUGCUCGCCAUUAGUAACAUGGAAGCUUCCUCUACCCUUGCCAAAUGCCUUUAUGAACUUAAUUUUACAGUUCAGAGUAAAGAACAAGAAAAAGACUCAGAAAUGCUGUAGUGAAUCCUACCCCACUGACACAGUGGGGUCUCAAAGUCAAAUACAUUUCACAUACUGUUACUGAAGAAAGCACCAAGUCUUAAUGGAGCAGAGACCAUAGAAUGAAUUAUUUUGUGUCCUCCAUGAUGCUGAGAGGAAACUUCGUAUUCUGAUCUCUGAACGAAUCCCUUUCUUUUCUGUUAAAAAAAAAAAAUCUAAAAAGGAAAAAAAAAAAAAAAAAAACAAAAACUGCUGUGGGAUUGUCAACCAGCUUAUCUGCAGGAUGUCUCGGAUCUGGCCAAUCCUGAUGGAAACUGGUGUGAUCAGAAUUCUGUACCAUCCACAUUGGAAUAUACAUGGAAUAGUGUAAAACCUACGUGAGCAGAUGAAAUAGAAGCAUUAAAUAUUUUUAUCUAUAUCCAAAAAGGAGCACAUUUUUAUAUUUACAGAACCAUUUAAGCUGGUUUGAAUAACGACAGAGUUUGAGCACACCUAUCCCCCAGCUUCAGAGGGGCCACCAAUAUCUAGCUGUGGAUUGUGUGUUUUGUUUAGAAUCAGUAGCUUGGUUUUCUUACUUGAGCCAAUAUAUUUUCACUUAUUUAUUAUCAUAAAAAUUUACCAGUCUGAAUAGAUCUUGUAAAUAUUUGUGAAUAGAAUGAACACUGUUCAUACCACUGCAGCCACUGGAGAUACAUCCUGUGGUGUCCUAGAAGCAUUAUCGGUAGGCUCUAAAGUUUUCUAGACUUUGCUGUCAACUGUAAGUAAUUGUGAUAUAUUCUACGCAGUGGAUGGAUAUUCUUUAAAUCUGUGUAAAUACUUCUGCAAAGGUACUGAUGCUGUAAAGUCAAACAGUUUUGUGGAACUGUGAUUUUUUUUUUCCUCCUUUUUUGGUUUCCUUGGCCCCCACUUGGGUUUGGUGGGGUUUUGUUUUUGUUUUGUUUUGUAUUAUACACCUUGUAGAACUCAUUUUGCUGGCUGAAAGAGUAUGGAAUAAUAUAUCUCAUAUGUCAUUUUUGUAGAAGAGAAACUAUUUGGAUUUCCUUUUUGUUGGUUUGGUUUUCCCUAACACGUGUCCGCUGUACGCAUUCGUCACGUGCAAGCUCAGCUUGUGCAGGGUUUUUUGUAUUUGUAAAUUGGUUUAAAUACAUGGAAUUUUAUACAGGUUUUCUCCUGUGUUAUAUAUGCAUUAUGUGCAGGUAUGAUAUUUUCUUCACUACUUUUUCUAUCUUAAUAUAGUGUGGAAUUUUAUUGUAUUAUUCUUCCAUUCUUAAUACUGUACCACAUUCCUGCUCAGAAACUGCUCACUUCCUUAAAUUGUCUUUUCCCCCAAGCGUGAAAUGUAUCCACUUAUAACUGCCUAUUGCCUGUUCUAUUAGCAUCCAAAAAUGUGGAAGGCCUCCCAACCACCAUUUCUGCUGUGUCCUUAGGAUGUGCAGUAAAAAAAUAUAGACCUGACAGUUUAUGUUAUAGAAUGGCUUUAUUUACUUUGGUGACUGUUUAUAGUUUUUAAAUAAAAGACUGAACAUUUUCUUGAGUCCUUUAUUUCUGAGUAUGCUUAAGACAUUCUAAAAUUUAAAGUCUAGCUGAAGGCAAGGUCAAACGGUCACCUACUUACUUUAUACUUUGUGAUUGUAGAGAACAGAAAGGUGCAUCAUGUGAUAGGACACCAUGGUCACGGUAGGAAGGAGACCAGGAGACCAAAUGUUUUGUUUACAGUAGUAUGAGUAGUAGCCCCAGAGAGCGAGAGACAGUUAGGGCUCGGUUGCCUUACUGUGUGUCCCGCAUCUAUCUGACUGAGAGCUUUGUUUACCAUUCGACUCUAGGUUUCAGUUUAACUAAUUCAGGGGCAGCUUCUUGGCAAUGAGCUUCAGUCUGGACAGUUCAAAUAUCUUGAUUAAUUUAGUACCAAAAAGUAAUUUCUCCCCAGGGGUCUCUGUGCUCUCAGCUCUAACUGUAAGAAAUGUGUGGCGACACCCAGAACUUGGUAUUCUCAGGUUGGUGGCGUUUGACUUCUUCGCCUUAGCCUGGGGCUGCCCAGCAGACACCCUGAGUCCAGGUACCUUACUGUAUCCCUCAAAUAUCGCCAGACUAAAGGUUUCUAAGGGCAGAUAGUUGUAGAAAUUUAUAUUCACUGUGUUUAUCUAAAAAAAUUGAGGUUUUUGAAAUAAUUUUUGUAACAUCACUGUUUGCUUGUCCUCAAGGUACCUUUUUCCUUCCAAAGCAGGAAAUUACCAUGGUGGUUAGCCUUUAGUAGCAGAAACGACAGGCUUAAGAAAGUGGCUUCCAUAGUCACCAUCCUGUCACCUCACUGAAUUGCAUCCUGUAGAUGUAGAUUUUUGUGUUAAAAUGUAUAAAUGUGUCUUUAGUGCUUUUAAGCAAUGGUCUCAGCAGAAUUUUCUAAAUGUAUCUGACCUGACGAAACCAAUUUCUAGCUCCCCUUAGGCUUCCCCUCCGGCAGCUUUACCUGACUAAUGGAUAAGACUUGGUGGGUAACGCGGUUGAAGUGCUCUUGCAGUCCAGGGCCUGCAGAACCCUCGCAGUCACGAAAAGGUGCUCCUUGCUAGACAGAAACUUGCUGACUUCCAGUAUUGUUAUUUUUGUCUAAAGUUCUGUAAAUACAAGCUUUAAUGUUAUCUUUGAGAGAUCUAUGUAAAUAAUAGUCAAGAACAUAGAGACUGUACAAUUCUGUGUUAUAUAUGUGCCUAGUGCUCUGUUGGCACUUAAUAAAUUUUAAGUAACAAAACUGAUGAUCAUAUAGUGAAGGCAUAUUUUUCUUCCGACUUGAGACAGGAUAUGACUAUAUAUUAAUGAGACUCAAUAAACCAAGCCACACAUGAAAACUUGUCUCAUUACUUUAUAGCCAUGCCAUGUAUGUUUUUUAAACUAUAAAAUGACAAUAAAACUGAUUUUUGAAAUG